UCUACCGGUACACCAUCAAACAACAUGGCGGCACCCGUGAUCUAAGUUGGAAUAAGGCACUGUUAUCGCUUUAACUAAAGAUUCAGAACAAAUACACAACUACUACCAGCAAGAAAAGGCGGUCCAGAUAAUGUACAAAACCACUCAGGUUCCAAUAUAUUUAUCUUAUGCCUAUAUAGAUAUGGUUUAACCACCAUUGUCGCUACAUUUGAAUAUUUCUAGGUCUAACUUGGAAACUCGAACCCAAUAAUAAAGAUUGGAACGACACAGUUGACAUCGCCUCAAAUAACCAAACAAGCAAUUAUACCUCUGUUACUUCCAACUAUGUAUUUAGGCUAAAUAAUCUAUUACAAACUACAUUCAGCCCCUAGAUCUUCUGCGGAUCACCCAAACGAACAAAAUUUAAAACCAUCUACAACCUAUCGACUUAAAACUUAGGAACGAACAUAUAAGUAGGAAAUAUCACCACAUUAAUGGUCAACCCACGAGUGAAAUACUACUCCAUUAACUAGCUUACUUAGGAUAAAGUUUAGUAAUGCAUACCAAUCUGUCAUUUAUUAUAUUGCAUAUAAAUUGCUACUAGGCCUAUACCUACUACGAUCAACAUUUACCUUGGAAAAUACCACUAUAUUAAUGGUCUACCACGGAUGAAAUAAUACUCCAGCGGCAAACUUAUUUGGAAUAAAAUUCAUUAAUGCAUAUAAACUGCUACUAAGCCUAUACCUACUACGAUCAACAUUUACCUUGGAAAAUACCACCAUAUUAAUGAUCUCCGACGGGUGUAAUAAUACUCCAUUGACAUACUUAUUAGGAACACCUUAUUGGGAAUACUCCAUUGACCCACUUGUUUGGGAUAAAAUUAAUACGUACAAAUAUAUCCUUUAUUACAUAGCAUAUAAAUUACUACCAAGCUUAUCCCUUCUACAUCCAUAUUUACCUUAGUAAUCAAAAUAUAACCAAGUACCCAAAAUAAAACUUAUCAACGUUAAUUGUCAUAACUUAGUACAACAUAAUAUAUUCGCUAAUCCCACACUAAUGGCCAAGUUGCUAUAUAACUUAACUUAACUCAAUCUAUCCCCUUAUAAUCCUAUAAUCAUAGGCAGCCCAACAUUAAACUAAUACUUACUGAAUGCAACUGGCCACGAUGCAUUGUACCCUUAUCCUUGUUCUAAUAAGAUAAAACUCCCAAUAUAGAACUAAAAUGCAUAACUCCCCCGAUUGGUCAUAUUUAAAUUUACUUAUAGUUUCUAAUGGAACUUGCAAGAAAACUAAUUGUCCUUAUGCGCUUAAAACGAAGACCCAAGUUGCUGGGCUACCGGAUUCGAUACCUCACGCACAAAGCAACUCCUUAACUUAUAAUUACUCAAUCUCAUACAUAAAACAAUUUCUAUAUCGUAAAACCCUUCUUUAUUAAGGAAUAUAUUACAAACAAUGUUACUCUAUUAAUGGAGCUAAUCAUACAUUUACUAUCUUAAUUACCACAAUACUAAUAACUUAAUAUAACUCGCUUCAAGCUUAAACUUACAUUGUAAUAGUAGCUUAAUAAUAGCUUAACGCUAGCUUACUCUAAACAAUAAGAUAUUAUGAAGCCAACUAUGAUAACAUAGACAACAUUUGAUUAUAACGGUAUAACACACAUAUAACCCAUCGCACCACUUUACACCUAUUUAUUAUUGCUCAUACAUUAUAUCUUAUGAUUAACAACCAUUCCUCAUUAAUAACCAAGUUUGUCUAUAUAUAACGCAUAUAACUAAACUUUUUUCCUGCUCAUAUUGGCUAAAUUUAUCCUAUACUUUCAAAAAAAUUAUUCUCCUUAUAAGAUAACAAUACUAACCGUUACCAUUACGCUCCAUAUAUAUAAAUAAUAAUAAAUAAUAAUAAUAUAAAUAAUAACAUCACUCUACGUCACCAAAGACUUAACAAAUAAUGCGAUAAAACAUAUACACUAAUGUCCAAAUCACCAUAUUUAUAUUAUACAUUUCUCCUAUAGACUUUACGUGUCACCGUUGACACUACCUCUACAACCUAUACUCCUCCAUUUUUAAUUUAUUGAAACAUUAGCUCAAAAUACUCAAUUAAAUCUGCAUUAAGAAACAAACUGUUAAUCUGCUUGCUGUCUACGCACUAAAUAUUACCAAGUCCAGUAAAAAACAUCAUAUCCUUACAUAUAUGGGCCUGUUCUAACCUUGAACAACCUCCUUUUUAACACUAGGUUUACGGGCGUUUCGUAUAUACCUAUCUCUACGAGCACCCGUCAAAUUGACGGGUAAACGAAAAUAUGCAUUUUUCUUUAAAAAAUCGAUUUAUUCAAAUUAAGUCUGAAAGGAAGAAUAUUAGGCUUCACGUUUAAAUAAAUUAUUAAUAAAUAAA